rnacentral:rRNA from 1 species
GACGAACGCUGGCGGCGUGCUUAACACAUGCAAGUCGAACGCUGAAGACCUGGCUUUUGUUGGGUUGGAUGAGUGGCGAACGGGUGAGUAACACGUGAGUAACCUGCCCUCUUCUUUGGGAUAACGCCCGGAAACGGGUGCUAAUACUGGAUAUUCACUGAUCUUCGCAUGGGGGUUGGUGGAAAGGUUUGUUCUGGUGGGGGAUGGGCUCGCAGCCUAUCAGCUUGUUGGUGGGGUGAUGGCCUACCAAGGCUUUGACGGGUAGCCGGCCUGAGAGGGUGACCGGUCACAUUGGGACUGAGAUACGGCCCAGACUCCUACGGGAGGCAGCAGUGGGGAAUAUUGCACAAUGGGCGAAAGCCUGAUGCAGCGACGCCGCGUGAGGGAUGGAGGCCUUCGGGUUGUAAACCUCUUUCGCUCAUGGUCAAGCCGCAACUGUGGGUUGUGGUGAGGGUAGUGGGUAAAGAAGCGCCGGCUAACUACGUGC